rnacentral:rRNA from 1 species
AAUCAACGCUGGCGGCGUGCCUCAGACAUGCAAGUCGAACGAUUAAAGUUCUCUUCGGAGAGUGUAUAGAGUGGCGCACGGGUGAGUAACACGUAAGUAAUCUACCUUUGAGUGGGGAAUAACCCGGGGAAACCCGAGCUAAUACCGCAUAAUGCAGCGGCACCGCAAAGGGUGACAGUUGUUAAAGGAGCAAUCCGCUUAAAGAGGAGCUUGCGGCAGA